GCCAGCUCACUUCCAGCCUCUUUACACCUGCACCAGGAACAUGGCCAAAAUGUCUGGUCAGUACACGCAGAGUGCUCGCUUCUAAGAUUCAGCUGAUGAAAUCUGCAGCUAAAUAUCAUCCUCGGUGGAUGCAAAGCAAAGUGAAACUAGCAGGUGUUGAAGAGUGAAAAAUUGGCCAAAAUUAUGGCUUCUGCAUAUGUGAGAGUCUCAAUUUUGACAUGAAAACCAGAUUGUCUACUCAUCAAGGGACUGGGAACGGGAUUAAGAGGUGAACAGGUAGCCACAAUACCCAAAGCCACCAUGCUGCCAAGGAGCCUCUUCAACCAGGCAGCACAUGCCAUGAAGGAGCUUUGAGGAGAAUGAAACCCAGUGAACACCUGAGGACCUGUCUGUGCACUCAGAUUGUCUGCCUUUGAUGAGGAGUGUCUGAAUUUUACGAAGCCUUUUUUGUUUGUGAAGAAUUUUUCUGGUAUGAUCAUGACCUUACAGGUCAGAUUCUGCAUACAUGGAGCAUCCAUUGAAACACAGGGUUUUCAAUAAGGUGAUGUGCUUUUGUAAAACACAAGAGAUGUAAGAUAGACAUUAAAGGUAGGAAAUUACUUUGCCAUUUGGCUGAGUAUUUCUGAGAUGUCAGCUGCUUGUGGAUUGGGGAAGAAUAAUGGUAUUUAAAACUCAGUGUUUAAAAAAGUAAUUUUCUUUCUUUUUCCUGUAGUCAGAAUUCAAGUUUGGACUUGCCAGCUUCUCUUUUUAGGAGUCCCUACUCUUGUGAAAUGCUCCCUUGAAAGAUACACAUAUCUUCUCACAGACACCUGUCAGACACAGACACACAACUUUGCACAGCUGUUCUCCACACUUCAUUUUAUUGAUUUUCAUAGGCCUUUUCAGACUGUGCCCAACUCAUCUCUGUUAAAAGCUGAGUUCUGCCUUUCUUACAGCUUGUUCACAGUAUAUAGCUACUGUGUUCAUCAUGUUUAUAAAUAUCCUCCUAAUUAAUUGUCCAAAAGUGUUGUGUCUCUGCCCAGUUUCACAGGACAUCACAGAGAGCAGUGGGUUUGGCUCUGAGGUUUUUCAUUGCAGCACUAUGAACGUCUUUUGGGGAAGAGAUUGUAUUCUGUACAAUGGGACACGUGCCAGGCUGGAAAUUCUGGGUUGUAUUGGGACAUCCAUGUGAAACAUCACCAAAUCAAAACUGAUAUGAAGAUUUUUCCAAGAACUCACUUCAGGACUCUGAGGAGACCUUUAUCUGCAUUGUAAGUUCCACUCAAAGCAAAUGUUGUAUUUAAACUGAGUCUGCUUGGCUGAAAGAUAAAAAUUAAAGGACUUUAAGAGCUUUCUUGAAUUUUAUACAGCAGAGACUCAGGGACUACAGGAAGAAAGGGUGCAGAAGUUUCUAGAACCAAGUGGAGCCAUGCAGCCAGGCCAUGUGAAAAUUGCUGAUUUUGUGAGAAGCAAACUGUAAAGGAGAUCUGCUUGUUUAUACAAAGACCAGCUGGCAGUCCACCAUACCAGACCAAGCUCACCUCAUCUCAGAAAGUGUCUGAACAAGUCAUACAACCCUGGGCCUCUUGACACUGCAAGGAAUAGUCAGUAUACAUGAACACUGGGUCACAGAAGCCAAAUGAAUUAAAAGACUGUUCAUCUGCUCUCACUGCUGACAAAAUAUUAGAGAAGGAAAACCAAACCUCUGUUAUUUAGUCCUGCAACACUGAUUUGAUAAUCAUUUAUUGUUUAUGGUGAAUCCCAUGCAGUCAGUAGAGUAUGGCUCAGAGAGGCACUUACGGUUUUCAACAGAAAAAAAGGAAUUUGAAUACUGAUGGUACAGGUUCCCCCUUACUCUGGAGAAGAAAUGCACAGGGAGCAUUUAAUCAUGCAUCACUUUUAGGCAUUCUUCUCUCCUUCCUUGUGACAGCAAUAUUAAGUUGUUCAGUUUUGUGGGAGUAAUUAACACCUUCAGAGUCACGCUUAGGGCUGGAGGUGCUGGAAAGUAGAAUAGUGGAAUAUCCUCAAGAGCACCACAGAAAGAAUGGAAUCAAUUUUCUUGAACAAAGACAAGGAUUCUUCAGCUCUGAGUCACACAUCAUGAAUUUCUGAAGUGUCACAUUUAGAUGGAGAAGAGAGAAUUACACUGGGACAUGAAAAAAUGCCUGUUUGACUUCUUAAAGAGAGAAGGCUUAAGCUUUGUAAGACAUAUGGUACAGAAGAUUGUUCUGACAGGCUUGUGCCAUAUGGAAGGUAGAGAUCACUACUUCAUACUCUAGGGGAAAAGCCUCAACAGCACAGGACAGGUUGGUGUGGCUGUUACCAAUGUUCAUCCUACUUAGCAAGCCAAGAUAAGACUUUAGAAUCACUCAUUGAUCCAUGACUCUGAAAGGUAUGGAAGAUUAGCAAGUAGCCUUUGAAGAGGUUUAGAUUGGUAUGGGAGCUCUGGAGUGGGAAUUUAAUGGUACUCAUAGUCUACAGCACCACUAAGCAACCCAAAUGCUGCUGUGAGGGACUGAGCUGCUGACUAAUUUAUGUCAGCAUCUGACACAUGUUCUUCAGUGACACUGAUGCUUCAGCCUAAGAGUGGAUUUAUAUCCUUAGCAGUUCUGUUUUAUAUGUGCAAAGGCAUUGUGGGUCUUACUCUAUUCCCCAGAUCCCUGUUUUAGCUGCUUGCCAGCUAUAAAAGCAAUCUAAACUUCCAGUCUGAGAUAAGAUACUGAGGAGUUACAUGUGGGUAUGGUUCACACCAAUUAUUGGAGCCCUGCACACUUAGGAGAUGUACAAGGAAAUAGACUGUGGCAGCUGACACACACCUAAGUGCUUCAGCUUUUAAAAAGAAAAGAUGUGGAGUGCACAGAGGCCAGCUCCUGCUUCACUCAUGGAGACAUCAGCAGGAUGCAUAAGGACUGUUUACAAAAAGGAGGAGUUGGCAUGGUUUUGCAGGGGACUGAGUUUUGGGACUUGGCUCUUGUUUUCUGUCAGAAUGCAAUAGCAAAUUGGUUUGGUUUUGUCUUCCUGCUGGGGCUUUGCCACGGGUGAAAACACCUUGUAUUCAUCCUGCUGCAGUCUUUGUGAUGCUGGGCAUGCUGUGGUCACUUUCAAGGGUAAGGGGAGAUUCUGAUUUUCAGUACCACUUGGGCCACUGUGUGUUUAGACAUAGAUGUCUAAUUUUAGCCAAUCUAUAUUUCAUUUUGUAUAAAAUAAAAUAGAAUAUACAAGAACAACCAUUUUGGUGAAAGAAUCGGUUCUUUCACAUAAGCACGUAUCUGCGCAGGUAAAAGACAUAAGGUAAUAAAGGAGGUUCCAGGAUGACACUUGCAGUGAGGUCCCUUUUUCACAUCACAGCAACAGGUAGAGAGAAAGUGGAAAAAAUAGGCUAUCCUACUGAAAGAACUUUCUAAAGCCAUCUAAAAUAUAUUGCUCAGACUGAAAAUUUUUUCAGAUUGUUAGGUUUCACAUAGCUGAUUAAAGAAUAGCAUUCUAAUAUGAGGCUCUUAGACUUUUCACAUCUCUAGGAAGUGUGACAUCUUUGGUAGUUUUAGAGCCAUCACUACCUUCUCCCUGAAUCAGAGAGAAAGAGCAUCUGUCUACUGAAUCUCCCGUGUCUGACACAGUAUUAAUAUAAUUCAUGCUUGCAUAGCUUGUGAGAUAUCAUGGUAUCACACUACGAGAGCACUUUGCUACAGUGACAGGUUUAUAUUUUGAGCUGAAGAGUCUCUUGCAGAUGGAACACACCAGCUGUACUUGUCUGAACACUGAUAGUGGCCUAGAGGCACUGAUUUCAGCAGACUGUGCAUCAGCAGAGUGCAACAGCACAGCAGGGAAGCCAGUAUAUUUUCAUGCCUUUUAUGCAGAGCAGGAAUGCUGCAGGUUCAUAGGCUCUGAAAAAGCCAAGUAGAACCCCAAGUUCCUGAGAAAUAUUAAUUAAUCCAUUUAGGAGCUACUGCAGUGGGAAACAUUACAAUACACAGCACGAGUUGCCUACCUUGGUAAGGAACUUUCUUCUUGUAUUGUUGCAGUUCUCGUUUGCUGCAGCUUUGGACUGGAGGAUGCUGGUGACCACACGUGGAGGAUCGGGUGGGCUGUCCUCUGCCUCUGAUGUGCAUGGCAUCUGAGUUCUGGGACAGAAGUCAAAAUCCUCUUGACCCCAGCUGAACCUCACUGAUACCAAUGCUGUAAUUCUAGAGAAGAUACCAAUUGAAAUGAUAGCCUCUCUUAUGAAUGAGGAGUUUGGUGUGAUUGAGAGCUGCCCAGCAGCACAGCCACGCUGUCUUCCGGUGACACAGAGCACACAAAUACGUGAAUGAAUAGAAGUACUGAAAAGGUGAAUAUACUUAGUCCACCUGAGAACCAGUGGCAGAAUUUGCUCCAUAUUUUACACUCUGGUCCAGGCACCACUUGCUCCAGCAGUCUGAUCUCAGGCUCGCCAGUCAGGGGCUUGUCAUCCCUUAGCACUUCACAGGUAUACAGGGGCCUUCAAAACUGAAGAAAGCUGUGAACUCACAAAGGUCUCUGGUCUCUGCAGGCUUUUACAUACAUCAAGAGAAAGAAGAGAAAUAUUUUACAGCAAACCAGAAGUGUCCUAAAUUAAGCAGAUUGUUGCAAUGUGAUGUCUUUGCAGUCUGUGUACGUACUGGCAUGAGGCAGAAUUCAGAGCAUGGGAACAUGAAGACAGAUGCAUAUGAAUCACAAAUAUGGUUACAUAGAAGUUCAUCAUUAAGGGACUCGUUUGGAUUUGAACAUCUCAGGCUGUUUUACAGACACGGCAGGCAUUGUGCUGUUUAGAAAUUGUGCUGCCAUCGUGUGGACAGUAUUAAAACGUGCAAAAACCGGUUUUAAAAAAAUUCGGGAAACGGAGGGAAAGAAUGUUACUAUUUAAUAGAAGUCUGCUUCCUCAGAGUGAUGGAAUAAUGCAUGACUUUAUAUUCCUACUACGAAUUAUCUUCAUAAGAAAGGAAAUCUUCUCAUUUUGGAGUUUCACAGAAUAUUCUGAGUUGAAAGGGACCACAAGGAUCAUCAACUUCAAUACCUAAAUUUCCUUUAUUCAGUCAUUCUGGCUAACAGCCCCCUUGGUCUGCUCACCUGACCUCAGGACUGUGCAUCAUGUAUGUCUACCCUUAGGCAAUUUAAAAAUGCUUCUUUUCCAAGCUGUGGAGUAUUUCUCCAAGGUGUCUGAACAGAACAAUGAGACUGGCCAUGUCAUUGGCUAAGAAAAAGUCUCAGCUGACAUCUCUUAAGAACUGCUUGUUUGGGACCUGCUUGAAGAGACUUGUGAUGUUCACCCACUUCCAAGACCUGGAGCAUGAAGAAAGAGUCAAAGCUGACUGUCAAAUUCUGGUUGAUAAGGAAUGCAAGGGUGAUAUUAUGGCAGAGAAGGAAUCAUAAAGUCAGAAUAUCCUGUGCUGGAAGAGUUCCACUGGGAUCAUUGAGUCCAGCUCCUGGCCCUGCACUCCAAAAUCACUGCCCAAGGUCCUGCCACUGUCACCAGAGAGAAGAGAACAGUCCCUGCCCCUCCUUUGCCCCUUGAGAGGAAGCUGUAGACAGCCGCAUUCUAAAGGAAGCGUUAGAAUGAAUGUAAUUUUUUUCCUUCUCCUGCUCUCUUAUCUUUCAUGGUCCUGCACUCUCAAAUUCCAUUUAUUUUUCUACCUCUCAAGUUGUUUUCUUCAUUCAUUUUGCGGUUUUCUUUUCCCCAUCCUCUAGUUCAUAGAAUCUGUCAGGGCAGCUCAGU